GGUGCUUUGGCGGAGUGGUUAACGCGAUGCCCUGCUAUUGACUCACAUCAAAGCUAGGCAUUUCCUUCGGGAGCGCAGGUUCGAAUCCUGCAGGCAUCG